CCUACGGGUGGCAGCAGUGAGGAAUAUUGGUCAAUGGCCGGAAGGCUGAACCAGCCAAGUCGCGUGAGGGAAUAAGGCCCUAUGGGUCGUAAACCUCUUUUGUCAGGGAGCAAAGGCGUCCACGAGUGGACGACAGGAGAGUACCUGAAGAAAAAGCAUCGGCUAACUCCGUGCCAGCAGCCGCGGUAAUACGGAGGAUGCGAGCGUUAUCCGGAUUUAUUGGGUUUAAGGGUUGCGUAGACGGGGAUGUAAGUCUGGAGUGAAAGCCCGGGGCCCAACCCCGGGACUGCUUUGGAAACUGUGUAACUGGAGUACAGGAGGGGCAGGCGGAAUUCCUGGUGUAGCGGGGAAAUGCGUAGAUAUCAGGAGGAACACCGGCGGCGAAGGCGGCCUGCUGGACUGAAACUGACGUUGAGGCUCGAAAGCGUGGGGAGCAAACAGGAUUAGAUACCCGAGUAGUC
rnacentral:rRNA from 1 species